rnacentral:rRNA from 1 species
CCUGGUUGAUCCUGCAGUAGUUCAAUGCUUGUCUCAAAGAUUAAGCCAUGCAUGUCUAAGUACAAGCCGAUUUAAGGCGAAACCGCGAAUGGCUCAUUAAAUCAGCUUGAUUUCAUUGAUCUGUACCCACACUUACUGGAUAACUGGGUAAUUCUAGAGCUAAUACAUGCACCACGUCUCUGACGCAAGGGAAGAGCGCUUUUAUUAGUUCAAAACGUUUCGGCCUCGGUCCGUCACCCCACCGUGUUGAAUCUGAAUAACUUGUCGCUGAGCGCACGGUCUCCGCACCGGCGCCGCCUCUUUCACAAGUGUCUGCCUUAUCAGCUUUCGAUUGUAGGUUAUGCGCCUACACAUGGCUAUAACGGGUAACGGGAAUCAGGUUCCGAUUCCGGAGAGGGAGCCUGAGAAACGGCUACCACAUCUAAGGAAGGCAAGCAGGCACGCAAAUUACCCACUCCCGGCACGGGAGGUAGUGACGAAAAAUAACGAUGCGAGACUCAUCCGAGGCCUCCAAUCGGAAUGAGUACCUUUAAAUCCUUUAACGAGGGAUCUAUGGAGGGCAAGUCUGGUGCCAGCAGCCGCGGUUAAUUCCAGCUCCAAUAGCGUAUAUUAAAGUUGUUUGCGGUUAAAAAGCUCGUAGUUGAUUUCAGUUUCUGGACUGACGGUUCACCGCCCGGUGCAUACUGUCACGCUCCGAACAGCCCAACAGCCGCUGGCUCGCACGGGGUCCUUCAUCGAGUGUCCCGCUGGCCCCGCAAGUUUACUUUGGAAAAAAUUAGAGUGCUCAAAACACUACGCUAAUGCCUAUGCAUGGAAAAUAAUAAAACCUCGUUAUUUUUGUCGGUUUUCUGAACCCGAUAAAUAAUACCAGGCGGGGCAAUUCGUAUUGCGACGCUAGAGGUGAAAACUCUGACAAGACGAAAUACUGCGAAAGCAUUUGCCAAGGAUGUAUUAAAUAAACAAAGUUAAAAAAACGUCAACCACUAGAAUCUAACCAUAAACGAUGCUGACCAGCGAUCCGCCGGCGUUAUUCCCAUGACCCGGCGGGCAGCUUCCGGGAAACCAAAGUCUUUGGGGUUCCGGGGGAAUAUGGUUGCAAAGCUGAAACUUAAAAGAGAAAGGGCACCACAGGAGUGGAGCCUGCGGCUUAAUUUGAAACAGAACCUCACCAAAACCGGAAGGAUUGCCAGAUUGAGAGCUCUUUCUCGAAUUCGUUGUGGUUAAAAAGAAAUUGGUUAAUCCGAUAACGAACGAGACUCUGGCCUACUAACUAGUCGACGGAUCUCCAGCAAUUGGUGUCCAGUUCGCAGCUUCUUCUAUAGAAAACUUAGCCGCAAAACGCACGAAUUGAGCAAUAACAGGUUCUUGAUGCCCUAGAUGUUCUACACGCUCACUGAAGGGAUCAAACGUGUCCUCCAAAAAGGAGCGGGUAACCCGUUGAAUUAUUUCAUGAUAGGGAUUGGGGUUUGCAAAAAUUGUCUCCCAUGAACGAAAUUCCGCAGUAAGCGCAAGUCAUGCUUAAAUACCGUUGUAACACCGCCGUCGCUAAAUUGAAUGAUUUAGUGAGGCCUUCGACUGGCGCUCUUGGAUGCCGGGCCCACGCGGUUCCGCCGCUGGGCUUUCGGCCCUCGAGCUGACGGAAAGAUGUCCAAACUUGAUCAUUUAGAGAAGUAAAAGUCGUAACAAGGUUUCCGUAGGUGAACCUGCGGAAG